UACGUAGGGAGCGAGCGUUGUCCGGAUUUAUUGGGCGUAAAGAGCUCGUAGGCGGUUCGAUAAGUCGGGUGUGAAAACUCUGGGCUCAACUCAGAGACGCCACCCGAUACUGUUGUGACUUGAGUCCGGUAGGGGAGUAUGGAAUUCCCGGUGUAGCGGUGAAAUGCGCAGAUAUCGGGAGGAACACCAGUGGCGAAGGCGGUACUCUGGGCCGGAACUGACGCUGAGGAGCGAAAGCGUGGGUAGCGAACAGG
rnacentral:rRNA from 1 species